UACGUAGGGUGCGAGCGUUAAUCGGAAUUACUGGGCGUAAAGUGUGCGCAGGCGGCGUUGCAAGUCGAGUGUGAAAUCCCCGAGCUUAACUUGGGAAUUGCGCUCGAAACUACGAUGCUCGAGUAUGGCAGAGGAAGGUGGAAUUCCACGUGUAGCGGUGAAAUGCGUAGAGAUGUGGAGGAACACCGAUGGCGAAGGCAGCCUUCUGGGCCAAUACUGACGCUCAUGCACGAAAGCGUAGGGAGCAAACAGG
rnacentral:rRNA from 1 species